CACAGAAUGUUUAGUGAGAGAAAAAUUUGAAAUAGAAGCGUGGUAGAUUUGUUGAAAAUAAUCAGCAAAUCUACCACGCAUGUGGUAAGUACAGAUUAUAUUUUCCCAAUAUUAUUGAUUGUCACAGAAUAAUUAUCAAUCGCAACUU